CGAAUCAGGGAAGCGUGCCGGUGCAGGCAAGAGACCACCGUAAGCGUCGUUGCAACCAAUUAAGCGCCGAUUCCAAUCAGCGCGACUACGCCCUCGCUGCCUAAGCGACGGUGUGUCUGUCAGACCGGGAGCGCCCUCGGCCCGGACCCUGGCAUCAGCUAGAGGGACCCACCCACGGGUUCGGUCGCGGGACCCGUGGGGACAUCAAACAGCGACUGGGAUCGUCAUCUCGGCUUGUUCGCGUGACCGGGAGAUCCGAGUAGAGACUUAGCGAACUGCGCACGGAGAAGUCUUGAGGGAAUGCC
rnacentral:misc_RNA from 1 species